rnacentral:lncRNA from 1 species
UUGACUUGAAAAUUAGGUCAUAUUUGAGAAAAACCCCUUUGUUAUAUUAUACUCAUUUUGUUUUAUAAUAAGUGUCACUUUAAGUUUUUUAUUUUGUUUCAAAAUAAAUGUCAUUUUACAUUUUCAAUGUAAAUUUGUACAUUCAAUCUACUUUUUACCCUUUUGAAUAACCAAUAGAUUUUUAUUUAAAUCAUUCUCAUUUAAUUAAUCAUACAUUAAAUAGUAAUAUAUUAGUCUACUACACAUUUUUUUUAAUUUAGGUGAAAAUGUCAAAAUGAUACUUAUAAUGAAAUGGAUGGAGUAUUGCGAAAGUAUAUUCAACAACUUUGUAUUCACUAUUCCGAACAACAAAAA